CAAGGGUCUCAUAAUCCUAUUGGUUCAGGUUUCAAAAUGACACCAAUCAGGUUGUACCUAGAGGACAGAAUCCCACUAUAAUUAAGCUGUGGAGCUCCUAUAUGGAAUCUGGAGAGACAGUGUCAGCUAAGAAGACAAAGUAAACAACAUAGAACCGCUGAUGUUCUAGCUGAAGCAGAGAAGCUAAUGAUAAAGCAGGCUGGAAGUGUUGGGAAAGCAAAAGUUAAUUCUACAAUUUUUCUGCUGAUUCCUGCCCACAUAUAGAUUUUGUAGGUGUGACAUCGCAGCCCACACAGCCCACCUGCUCCAGUCUCUCUUCCUUCUUUAACAACUGGUGUUUGGAACAGCGGUGCUGACUCUGGAGGAGUUAGCGAAGCGUGAGGCAGCCAAAGAAGCCUGGGGUACCCAGUCUGUGCAGUUCAAUUUAGAGCCAGCUGGCCAUGCAAUGAUAGCAAGACCACCUGCCCAUCAGAAAGAAGGUUG
rnacentral:lncRNA from 1 species